CUGUUCCUUUUUCCUAUGCAUAUACUUCUUUGAGGGUCUGGCCUAAAGAGGUGUAGGGCAUGGGAAAAUGGGGCCC
rfam:TPA: Bos taurus chromosome 26, whole genome shotgun sequence.